rnacentral:rRNA from 1 species
AUUGAACGCUGGCGGCAGGCCUAACACAUGCAAGUCGAGCGAGCGGAGGACGGGUGAGUAAUGUAUGGGGACUGCCCGAUAGAGGGGGAUAACUACUGGAAACGGUGGCUAAUACCGCAUACUAUCGGAUAACCCAUAUGGGCGUAGCUAGUAGGUGGGGUAAAGGCUUACCUAGGCGACGAGCUCUAGCUGGUCUGAGAGGAUGAUCAGCCAAACUGGUACUGGGACACGGCCCAGACUCCUACGGAGGCAGCAGUGGGGAAUAUUGCACAAUGGGCGCAAGCCUGAUGCAGCCAUGCCGCGUGUAUGAAGAAGGCUUUAGGGUUGUAAAGUACUUUCAGCGGGGAGGCGUUACCCGCAGAAGAAGCACCGGCUAACUCCGUGCCAGCAGCCGCGGUAAUUC